AUGUUUGAAGAGUCAACAGAAGGCAGGCAGGGGGACCAGAGAACAUGAUAAGUGUUUAAAGGAUGUGAUUUACUACUCAGCGAUGUGCCAGUGAUGUGGCAUGAAUUAAAAACAAGAAGUCUUCCAGGAGAAAAGAUUUCUUUAGAGAUAACUCUGGAGGUAAAUUCUGGCAGAAACAGAAGAGAUUGGAAUUAAUUUCCUCUGGGGAAAAAGCCUCAGCACAGCAUGGCAUGCCAAGCAGUGCCAUAUCAGCACCCAGGAUCUGAACUGGUGAACCCUGGGCCCCCGAAGUGGAACAUGUGAACUUAACCACUGUGCCACCAGGCUAGCCCCUAUAGUGAUUUUUAAAAUGCAAUUGAUUUAUUAAUGAAUGAGAUAGAAAAAUGAUAGAUAGAUAACUUUCAAGGAAUAGAAAACUCAUAAAUACAUAUGUGAAGGUAAUUUAUAAAUGUGGAAUUUCAAAUCACAAUAAAAAGAGCAACUUUUCAAAACUGUUUUUAU
rnacentral:lncRNA from 1 species